rnacentral:lncRNA from 1 species
AUGGAUUAUUACACCGGUGACACCUCCCCCCCCCCCCAUGGAUCCUGCCUUCUGAUAUCCAGGCCCUGGAGUGGUCCCCUUGGGCGGGACAUGGCUAGAUCAGGCGAUCUGCUUUGGCCAAUGGGACAGACAGGAAUCCGAGGCUGGAGGAGCAUCUGUGCUCUGAGGUGUCUCCUCUCCGGACUGUCGGGCUGGGAGGAGCGGGCUACCUCUCACACGACCCAGCCUACCUUCCAGUGCAGGACUGAAGUCUCGGUGAGACCAGGAGAAGAACUGCCUAGCCAACCAGCCAACCCCGAGAGCGGCAUCCAAAUUAAGCAAGGCUUUAUUCAGCACCAAGAAGGCCACAUCUGCAUAAUGAAAAGAUUUCAUCAGAAGCCCGAGAAAUCUCCUGGUGGGCUCCUCAUCAAAUAAUUCCUCAUCCUCCUGCAAACAACCUCCCAACCAAUUCAGAAAAUAAUGUCUGGAGAAGAAAUCCCUUGGAGCAGUUCAGGCCCCGGCAAGAAGCAGCUUAGAGCUGAUUCGAGAAUCAUACCAAGUGAACCCCACUGCAGGUACGUGAGUUCCAGAUUUUACUAUUUCAAUGUCCUAGGGCCAAUUUUAUGUCUCACAGACCACGUUCAGAAGCAAAAGCAAGCUCCUGGACCUUCACUUGGAGAAAUGUGUUGCGUUGGUGAAGCCCAACCUUGGGUCCCUUGGGUCGGGGGGAGCAUUCUAUUACAAAAGUUUCUGGAAACUGCAUGGCUUGUGGUUAAGCCCCUGCCCCCUGCAGCCAGCCUGCCUGGGUUUAUAUCCUAGCUUUGACAAUUUCUACUGUGUGACCUUGGCUAAGUCACUUGGCCUCUCUGCACCUCUGUUUCUCAUUUGUGAAACAGGGAUUGUCUUAGUCUGUUCAAGCUGUUGUAACAAAAUAGCACACCGGGUAGCCUAAGAUCAACAGAAAUUUAUUGGUCAUCGUUCUGGAGGCCAGAAGUCCAAGAUCAAGGUGCUUAUGUGGUCUCAUUCUGGUUGGAAGCCCUUCUCGCGGUUCACGGACAGUGCCUUCUCACUGGAAGAGGGCUGGGGAUCUCUCUGGAGCCUUUUUAUAUAAGGUACCCUUGUGAAUUAAUCACAUCCCAAAGGCCCCAUUUACUGUUACCAUCACCUUUGGGGGUCAGGAUAUCAACAUGGGAAUUAUGAGGGGUUCAUAAGCCUUCACCCCAGAGCAGGGAUGAGAACACUAAUACCUCCUUUUCAGUGUUCUUGUGAGGCUUAAGUGAAUUAUCCUCAUAGAAGAUCGGGAGUGCCCGGCACAUGGAAAGCUUCAUGUGUUUGCCGCUAUUAUUAUUCUAGUGCAAAUUAAUUCAUCUGUAACUCUUCUCCCAUUAAGCUGCAACUGUAACAAAUUGUCACUUGCAGUUAGCUGUUCUGGCCAUAAUAAACGGCACCGAUCAUCUGGCUAUGAUCAUGGAAGAGAGCCUCCAAUCACCAAGCUCUG